ACACAUUAAAAAAUGUGAAAUAUCCACCAUAUAUACUCUUGUGUAUAACUGGUAUCAGUUGAUCAGAUUCUGAACUACAGUUCAUAGAGUCUGACAACUUGAAGAAAGCUGAUUGAGAAUGCAUGCCAUGUUGAUUAACUUCCGUGGGUGCUACUCAACAGCAAAAGGAACUAGCUGAAUGAGUUUGCAUGCCAUGUUGAUUAACUUCCGUGGGUGCUACUCAACAGCAAAAGGAACUAGCUGAAUGAGUUUGCAUGCCAUGUUGAUUAACUUCCGUGGGUGCUACUCAAAAGCAAAAGGAACUAGCUGAAUGAGUUUGCAUGCCAUGUUGAUUAACUUCCGUGGGUGCUACUCAACAGCAAAAGGAACUAGCUGAAUGAGUUUGCAUGCCAUGUUGAUUAACUUCCGUGGGUGCUACUCAACAGCAAAAGGAACUAGCUGAAUGAGUUUGCAUGCCAUGUUGAUUAACUUCCGUGGGUGCUACUCAACAGCAAAAGGAACUAGCUGAAUGAGUUUGCAUGUGCCAUGUUGAUUAACUUCCGUGGAUGCUACUCAACAGCAAAAGAAAUCUAUUCUAUUGAUCGGUCGACUUCCUGGCAUACAUACACCAUGUAUUGCCUAGUGUCCCAGAUAGAUAGAUGGUAAGCAAAACACAAUAUUGUGUUUGCUCAGUGUCAAAAUGAAAAUGACAAAAUAGCCAAUACUAAAUGUGAUCAUUAGCCAGCAAGAAUAUAAA
rnacentral:misc_RNA from 1 species